rnacentral:lncRNA from 1 species
UAGAUUGGCAAUAUUAAGAUCAUUUUAUUUCAAGCUUUAUGGAUUUUCAAAACACGUACAAAUAAAAUGCUUAUUACAAAAUUCCAUUUGCUAAAGUUUCUUCAGAAAUAUACAUGAAGCACGAUCCCAGCACAUAGGUAAGUGACUUUUACAGAGAGCAUUACAUGGAGCAAUAAAUGCUAGCGAAACAGCCAGUCUUUCCAGAUACAUUACAAUGAAAACAGUUUUCUUUCCCUUUGCCAUAUCCAACAUUUGAAUUUUAUUGUUUCUAAUAGCCAGGCCUGAAGUUACAAUGUGUAAGUAAACUGACCAUGGAAGUCAACAGGCACUCAGUAGCCCUGAAAGGGAGAUUAAGCAGUAUUUUUCAAGUUCACUAAUUCAGGGGUAAAAAUCCCUGAGACACAGAGAAACAACGAACUCAUUUUCUUUGAUGGAAAGAUGUUUGUCAAGGAUCAUUGCCAACAGACAGCCAUAAAGAUAAACUGUAAGAGUGAAGAGUGACAGUAAGACAGAGCAAGGAAACCAACCUGUAAUGCUUGGUAAUGAGGAAUGCUGUUGUGGGGCAGCAUGGGACUUCACCAAGGCUGCCUAAUUGCAAGAAAAGCAUUCAGCAGAAAUAUGUGCAGAGAUACAAAGCACAAGAUAUGUACAUGCUAACCUGUCAUUCAGAGGAGAAGCACUUUUAUAGUGAGUCAAAAACUUUAAUCCCACUUAAUUAUAAACACUAUACAACUGACCUCUAAAGUUAAGAUAGAAACAAGAACAAAAUAUUGCACCCCAAUUUCCAAGUCACCACCAGGACAUUUAUUACUUGAAGUCAGUAGAUUAAGAAACAUAGAUUCAUAUAUAUUUUCUGGCACUUGAUGCCAAUGCAGAUUUGCUCAACCACAAGUGUUUAAUAGACCAGGUCAUUGAGUUUUGUGCGACCUGAAAACUGAUCUCAGAGGCAGCAUGCCUCUGACCUUACAACUCCAGUCCCCAAGCUGCUGCUGGACAUCAAAACUGCUCUACUUUCCAUGAGUCAUACCCCAGCAGGGUCCUGUUCCUUGCUACAUGCUGUGACAAGGGUCCCUGACUACAUCCUUUUCCUUAAGCCUAUUGCACAUACAGAAGUUGCUCCAUUGAAUUAUGAUGCCAUGCUGAUUUUCAAUGCUAUUUAACAUGUAGGCAGGUCAAGCUAGCUAGAUCAAAUACAAGCUCACCCACACUAUUCACUAAGGCUGACCCAAGCCUUCAGAAUGAAGAUUCAGUACUUCCAGGCUUUUAAAACAUCCAAAGCAUUAAGAAGCCUGUUACAGCUGACAGAUAUCAAAUACCACAAUAAGCAGCACUUGGAGAAAAGUGUGGCAUAAAUAGUGAAAGCAAGUCAAAACAGACUUCAGCCUAAUCUAAACAUCUAAUCCUAAAGGUUAUUAUAGGUUUCACGACCAGUAUACUUAGCGUAUGAUCAGCUACAAGUUUAGAACCAUUAGCAACUAAACAAGUUGUAAGAGCAACCUUUACAUUCUGACCUAAAGAUCUAUAAAUUACCACUGUGGAGGGAUGAUCUAGUUCAAAAUCAGAUUAUCUUUAAACUAACUAGAAAGCAAUUGCCAUGCUUAUGCAAGGCCCUUGCGCUAGCCACGCUUGCUCAGGACCAGGGCGAGACUCUAAAAAACACAUGUUGAUAGCAUAUGCCCUGUGCUAUUUUAAUAUUGAAUUUCUUUUUAUUACUUAUUACUCUUACUACUACUAAGAAGACAGUAGUUAAGCUGAGCUACCCCAGCCCCUCUUCAGCCCAGCUGUGUAACCAGCUAUGUGCUUGGUUUACCAGAAUGGGAGUAGCAAGUUCUCAGAGAUUUGCUGAUAUGUUACCUCAUCAAAAGGCCUUAUGAGAACAGCAGCUACGCAGGAGGAACACAUCACCUUUCCCAGCAAGGCAUUCUCCAGUGUGCUUAUUCUGGGGAAGACACAUCAAACUGUUACAACAGUCUGAUAUGGUAUAACUUUCCCUCUAAAAAGCCAUUAUAUUGGGGCAUUUGUUCCACAUACGGAUGUGCAUUUUUACUGAGGGACUGCUAUUCCAAUUCUCUAAAUGGACUCUCCAGACUUCAGGCUUUUGUGCUAGAUUUAGGUCACCAGUAAUUGGACAUGUGUGAAAAAUGCACAGGCUCAGUUCAGUGUUGCUUAGUUAAUUUCUUAGUCUGUUGAUUUGGCAGUUGUCCUACAAAACAGAACAGUUGGAUAUUUAAACUUGCAUUGAAGAAUACAUUAUGACAAUAGCAAGCCUCCCAAAAAACAAGCCCAACUCUUCCCGUACUAGUGAAAUAAAUAUUUUAAAUUGCUGGGAGUACAAAGCAAAAUGAGUUUUAGUUCCUCAAGUAAGACUAUCAGCUUGAUAAAUUGAAAGGAAUUAUUUCUUUUCUAUAGCAUUCAGAUUGGGAAAGAGAUCAAGCACAGCACCAAACAUAGAAACUCAAAGACUUUACACCAAGACCUUCUCAAGACAAAAAGCACUGAAUUGACAGGUGCCAAAGUUGCGCAACUGAUGGCGCAGAAUCAACUACAGCAACUUCCUAUCUGGGACAUUAUAUUCCCAAGCAACUGGUGAGUGUAACCACACAUUACUGCCACAGCAGAAAGAGUUCUGUGUGUUAUUUGAGCUGUACCAGGCACCUUUCAGUAUUGUAAGGGUUCUCAGAGCAGCACAUCCAUGAAGAUGACAAACUGAAAUAAGAAUUAAAUUUUAUUCUGCUCCCAAGCAGCUUCUGCCACAGUUUUUUUUAGCCAGGUUCCUUGAUGUUUUUUAAACCCUUCCUGAAGGACACAGAACAGCCCCACUGUGCUGAGUCCUAGCCAUCCUGCCAAGGUUUCU